rnacentral:misc_RNA from 1 species
UUUCCGUAGGUGAACCUGCGGAAGGAUCAUUAACGAGUUAGGGUCUCUCCAGGCCCCACCUCCCAACCCUUUGUUUACCGAACCUCUGUUGCUUCGGCGGACCCGUCUCGCGGCCGCCGGGGGACCGCCGACAGGCGUCCUCUGGCCAGUGUCCGUCGAUAGCCAAACAUUUAAACCCUGAAUCAAUUGUGUCUUAUGCCUAAGUCUAUGAUUAAAUUCAAAAAGAAAAAACUUUCAACAACGGAUCUCUUGGUUCUGGCAUCGAUGAAGAACGCAGC